rnacentral:rRNA from 1 species
UACGAAGGGUGCAAGCGUUAAUCGGAAUUACUGGGCGUAAAGCGUGCGUAGGCGGUUUGUUAAGUCUGAUGUGAAAGCCCUGGGCUCAACCUGGGAAUGGCAUUGGAUACUGGCGAGCUAGAGUGCGGUAGAGGGUAGUGGAAUUCCCGGUGUAGCAGUGAAAUGCGUAGAGAUCGGGAGGAACAUCAGAGGCGAAGGCGGUGCCCUGGCAUUGGCCUGACGCUGAGAUGCGAAAGCGUGGGGAGCGAACGGG